rnacentral:lncRNA from 1 species
ACAGUGAGCGGCUGGGACGUCGGCGGCGGCGGCGGCCUUGGAGACAACGUUCUCCUCACGUGCUGGGGGCUGGGCUCCGGAAAUGCCCUUUGGGGUUUAAAUUGUCCUGGCUCCCGUUAGCGUCGUGCCCGGCACGUUUUAUUUUCCUGUUUAAUCCUCACGGCCAGACCCCGAGAGACCUUCUUAUCCCCACGGCCCAGAUGACAAGACCAAGGCCUAAGGAGCCAUGGAAGAUGCUCACGCUUGCGUAACAGUAUUGCCCGGAGCCAAAUCCAGGUCUCCAGACUCUGAAUGCUGUGCUCUCCCGCUAGAAACAGCCAUAGAACUCGAUCCCAAGGCGCAACCUGGAGAUAUUGUGAAGAACCUUCUUGAUGUUGCUCUGAGCAAUGAAAGACGACCCAGUGGCCACUGCAGAGACAACUCCUGGCCCUGGCAGUCUUCAUUCUUCAUUGGCAUCAUUUUCCCAUACUGCGGCCUUCACACCCACUGGCCCUCCCUAAGAAAUAACCUGCUUCCUCCAGGGGUUUAACAGGAAGAUGACUGUCUGGACCUGCCAUCCUUACAAAAACACACCUCAUUCUUUUUCUGGACUUGCCAAAUUCUAGAAUGUCAGUGCUGAAAAAGACCUUGCAGGCCAUUUGGUCCCAGUGUAACAAACUUGUCUUCAAUCAUGGGCUGCCUCCGCCUGAAGCAGUGGAUAAAGCUGAGUCAGAGCUCAGCUGGCAGACAUUUGUUACAGGGUGCAAGGAGAAGGUGUAGGCCACCAUGUGAGGUAACAUGCCACCUCCAGCCCAGCUGUCCCUGCUCCUGCAGACGGGCUUACCAAUGAUGGUCACACUGCCGGGGAACAUAACUGACUUUAGGGGAAGGGGAUGAAGAUACGAUGCCUGGCACACAAAGAAUUGCCCAUGUCCACAGGACUGAACCAACUACAGGUAAAAAAAUAUUAAAAGUGCCUGCAGGAGUUCCCUGGCGGCCUAGAGGUUAAAGAUCCGGCUAUAUCACUGCCAUGUUAUGGGCUGGAUCUCUCGCCCAGUAAUCUAUGCAUGCCAUGGAUGUGCCUGCAUAAAGCCAUUAAAUGAUUAAAUGGAACAAAAACAUUAUCUAAAGUAAUUUAGUAAUCUACCCCUGUGCAUUUGGACUACUGUUUUACCUGUUACUCUUCUAUCAAAAGAUAUAUACUAUUUAAUACUUGAACAAUGUUUUAGGUGCCAAGAAGUGUUUCGAGCACAUUUUGGGUAUUAAUUCACUUAAACCUUCAUAACCCCAUGGGAUAGUUUUUACUCCCCACCCCUGCCCCACGUUGUGAGUUAUUUUUGCCAUUACAGUUUUAAGGCCCAGCUCAUUUGUGAAAUUAUACUUCCUCAUUUCUCCCAUUCAGCAAUCUUGGCAUGUUAUCCCUACUUCAUUUAAGCUUAUUUCCGUCUCUCUCCUAUCAUAAUUACUGGUCUAUCAUUACUUCCUGGCUCCAGUUUUUAUUGUCUACAUGUGCCUUCACUUUUUUAUAGGACAGGUAUGGAAUGGCUUCAGGUGGGUACAAGCAUCUGACUUGUCUCUUAGCAGUCAUCCCUAACAGAAAUACAUACUACUUUAUAAACUGCCUUCCUUUUAUUUUGUGUAUCAUGGUUAAGGCUUCAUCUUGAUUUUUCUUUUGGCCACACUUGUGGCAUGCAAAAGCUUCUAGGCCACAGAUCAUACCCAUACCACAGCAGUGACAAUGCCAGACAGAUCCUUAAUGCUAGGCCACCAGGGAGCUCUUCAUCUUGAUUUUUUUUAAAAUAAUUAACAUAAAAAAUGGAGUUCCCGCUCUAGAGCAGUGGGUUAAAAAUCCAACUGCAAUGACUCAGGUCACGGUAGAAGUGCAGGUUCGGUACCCAGCCCCGUGUGGUGGGUUUAAGGAUCCCACUUGUCACAGCUGCAACUCAGAUUCAAUCCCUGGCCUAGGAACUGUGUGCCACAGGCGUGGCCAUUAAAAAGGGGAAAAAAAAAGAUUUCAUUUCAGAAUAGUCAGAGAUCAUUACAAAAUUUUCUUUACAAAAAGGGGGCCCAAGGGGUUAUGAGGGUUGAGAUCACUUUCCCUGUCUGAGCUUCUUCAGUAAAUGAGAUAACCCCAACAUCAGAGCUGAUGAGAAAAAGCACCACAUGUGUGCUCAGAACAUGGUAAUUCAGUUUUAGUUCCCAGCCUGGUGUCUUACCUUUUCUGUCCCAUACCUUGCUCAAGGGAUAUCCCCAACACAAGCACCAUGAACUUAAGGAGUAAGGAAGCAUUUUCUGAUGAAAACAAUCACAUCCGGCUGCUAGGUGACACAGAAACCAGUCUAGAUGAUGCACUUAUAAACUCUCCCACUCACCUUAGAAUUAUUCCAAAUCUUUUGAGGAAAGGAAUGGAGCAUUCAUCCAGGUUAACAGACUGCAGCUGCUGAAGGCAGUUCAACAGCUUAAAUUUAAGUGACCACUCAAAUAUUCCCAUUUAAUUUAGACCAUUUUCCCCCCCUCCAGCAACUAAGAAAUGCUGCAGACUCCUAACUACAGCCACUGGUUUUGAAACCAGAGGAGGUAGGUGCUUUCAUGAAUCUCUGUCUGACCAUAGAAUUCUUAGGUGUUCACCAUAACAGAGUCCAUUUGGGGAAAAAGGAAAAAUAGUUGGAAAAAUAGUUGAAAAUAGUUGAAAAAGUUAACUAAAAAAACCCCAUCAAACAUAAAUGUUAAAAGUUCGGUGUGUACCAGUCCUUAUGUAAAAUGUAAUACUCAGUAGUGCUGCUAUCACGUUCCCCAAAGGGUUAAAACUGGGGUGAUGUCAAGACCAGGAAACUGGAAUAGCCAUAGCAACGAGUCACGGGUUUGAAGGCUGCCCAUGACUCAAGGUUAACAGUGAACAAAGACACUUGUUAUCAACCCGUUCAAAUUAGCACAGCUUUGUCCUCCUUGACAAUGACAUUUUAAGUCACAUUAAAUUAAGCAUCACUAAGCAUCAGGAUAAAGCCAGGUAGGCCUUUGCCAAGAAAUAUCUUGACUACUUAACAAGUGGUACCUGCCCAGAUGAUGACAUGUGGAUUUCAGUAGAACAUAACAUCUCAGAAGUGCAUGCUUCAGAUAUGUAAUAAGAGAAAAGCUAAAGGACACAUGACUUCCAUUUAUUUCUAGCUGUAUAAAUACCUGCUCAUUACAGUAUGCCUAACUUUCUAGAAAACAAAAAUUCAACACGUUACCUCAAGAAAGGAAGAAAUAAUUAUUUCCCAGUAUACAUACAAUUUACACUUUUUACCAUGAGCAUGUUUUAGAACUAGAGACAACUAAAUCCUGUCAUUAAGUGACAAUGAAAUGGUACCUUAUGAUUGGGUUAUAAAAAUGCAGAACAGAAAACAAAGGCUUUGGAGACAAGUAUGUUCUCAGAUCUUCCUCAGCUUACACCUUGAUAUACCAGUCAUAAAUUGAAAAUAUCUUAAGUUAAAAACACUAUACUACACCUAACCUACCCAACAUUAAGCUUAGCCUAGCUUACCUUAAAUAUGCUCAGAACACUUAGAUUAACCUACAGCUGGGCAAAACUAUCCAACAAAAUGUUGAAUAUCUCAUGUAAUUUACUGAAUACAGAGUGAAAAGCAGAAUAGUUAGGUCCAGAAGAAGAAUACUAGUUUACUCUUGUGAUUGCAUGGCUGCCUGGGAGCCAUGCCUUAGCUUGUUGCCCCUGCCCAAGCACCAAGAGUUUUGUGCUGCCCGCCACUAGCCAAGGAAAAGAUCAAAAUUGAAAGUUUCUGGAGUUCCCAUUGUGGCCGAGUGGGUUAAGGAGCUAACUACUAUCCAUGAGGAUGCAGGUUUGAUCUCUGACCUCACUCAGUGGGUUAAGGGUCCACACUGCCACAAAGUGCAGCAUAGGUUGCAGAUGUGGGUGGGAUACUGCAUUGCUGUGGCUGUGGUGUGUAGGCUGGCAGCUCCAAUUCAAUCCCCAACCUGGAACUUCCACAUGCUGCAGGUGUGACCCUAAAAAAGAAAAAAAAAAUUGGUUUCCAGAGUUGCUUUCACACCAUUAUUAGGUCAAAACAAACAAAAAAA